ensembl:snoRNA
UGUCUCAGUCUUUAUCAUCUAAAAAUGAAGGGAUUAGUGUCUAUAAAUUGUUAAUGUGACCACAUUGAGAAUGCAGGUUUUGCUUCCAUUGUUGUUAUUCUAUUGAAGUGGUGAGUGAGACUGGUAACAUUU